rnacentral:lncRNA from 1 species
CAGGGGAUAAAAUUUACAGGCAUGACAAUACUUGUAUCCAAGGCAACCUCUUCUGGAAAGGCAGAGUAUAGACUGAGAGCAAGGGGAGUGUGAGGAUUUUGUGGAAUGCUAUAGUCAUACUGUAACUUCUGUAACAUCUGAAAAUGAUGCUGUAGUGAUUAAAAGACCGUGUUGUGCUGUUAUGGUGGUUUUACACUAAAUGAUAUUCCUUGGUUUUGCAUUUCUCUAGAUUCCCAGCCGUCUUGUCAUGAGAACACAUUGCCUCAUACUUGCUGCAAUAGAGUUGAAUAAGUAACAGCUUUUAAAUUGGAUUAUCAACUCACAUUGCUACCAAAUACGAGCAUAUCAAUAGCAAGUCAUUUGGG